GACGAACGCUGGCGGCGUGGAUUAGGCAUGCAAGUCGAACGGUAGGAUCCUUUUCGGGGAUCUGAGAGUGGCGAACGGGUGAGUAACACGUAGGUGAUCUACCCUCAAGACGGGGACAACCCAGGGAAACUUGGGCUAAUACCGGAUGUGAGCUAUCGCGAGAUAGUUUGAAAGGUGGCUUCGGCUGCCGCUUGAGGAUGAGCCUGCGUCCUAUUAGCUAGUUGGUGAGGUAACGGCUCACCGAGGCAGUGAUAGGUAGGCGGCCUUAACGGGUGGUCGCCCACACUGGGAUUGAGAUACGGCCCAGACUCCUACGGGAGGCAGCAGUCGAGAAUAGUCUACAAUGGUCGAAAGACUGAUAGUGCGACGCCGCGUGAACGAAGAAGCCCUUCGGGGUGUAAAGUUCUUUUAUAUGUGAGCAGUGACACCCAUAUUAAUAGUAUGGGUGUAGAGAUAUUAGCAUAUGAAUAAGCAACGGCUAACUCCGUGCCAGCACG
rnacentral:rRNA from 1 species